rnacentral:rRNA from 1 species
UACGUAGGGUGCAAGCGUUGUCCGGAAUUAUUGGGCGUAAAGAGCUCGUAGGCGGUCUGUCGCGUCUGCUGUGAAAACCCACGGCUCAACCGUGUGGUCUGCAGUCGAUACGGGCAGGCUAGAGUUCGGUAGGGGAGACUGGAAUUCCUGGUGUAGCGGUGAAAUGACGCAGAUAUCAGGAGGAACACCGGUGGCGAAGGCGGGUCUCUGGGCCGAUACUGACGCUGAGGAGCGAAAGCGUGGGGAGCGAACAGG